AUGUGGACGGAGGUGAGACACAACAACAGCUCUGUCCAUGAAGAACCACAGGAGCAUAAUCUCACACAGAUAGUUUCCCCAGUGUCUUCAUGGCUCCCCUCCAACUCUGAUAGAAAUGGCUCAGCAACUACCAGUCCACCCCCUGUUGCUGAGACCGCCAUGAACAGAGAGAGUGGAAUCAUCCCAGGUGCGAUUGCUGCAGCAGUGUUCAUAGGCUUCCUGUUAGCCCUCUAUGCUGCUCUUUGGAAAUGUAUGGUUACGCAACCAAGAAGGUAUGAACUAAACCAGACUUUCACAAAGUGCGAGUACAAUGUUGUGUUUUGUUUUGUUGCAUUUUGUUCUUUGUUUUACUUUGCGCUUUUUAUUUUGUUUUAUUUUUUGCUUUGUGCUAUUUGUUUUGUUGUGUUUUGUGUUGUUUUCAUUUGUUUUGUCUUUCUUUGUGCUUUUUAUUUUGGUUUUGUUUUAUUUAUUUAUUUAUUUAUUUAUUGUUUAUUUGUUUGUUUUGUUUCAUAUUGGGUCCAAAAGAAUGAGACUACUUUUAAAACAAAUAAACAUCAAUAA
ensembl:lncRNA